AGUAAAAACUCAGCUCACUCUCUACUCUCUCAUUCGAUCACUUUCUCCUCUCUCAAGCUCAAACACCAAUCCAUGACUCUCCUCUCUCUACCUUAAACCGUGAACUAAGUCCCUCACCUAUCAUCUUUUCAGUUGAAACCCAGGAAGCUCACUUUGAAGCUGAAAUCGAGGAGACCCAUUUUGAAGGUGAAAGGCAUAGUCGAUCAAAGAAAAGAAGAAGAAAUUUGUGCCGAAGAAUGCAGAGAAAAGCAUGACAGAUUAUAUAUUGGAAGAUCAAGUAAGUGAGCCGUUUGCAGUACAUUUGGGAUGAUGUAAAGAAGGAAGACAUUGAAAUUCCCGAAGUUUUGAAAUCUCGUGAUGAUAUUUAGCUACUAUUUUUGUGUCGUAUUCAAGUAGACUCUACACGAUUAAAUGAGAUUGAAAAAGUUUCCACAGAGACACAUACCACCUAUUGUAUCCAACUGAGAAA